CCCUUAGAUGUCCUGGGCUGCACGCGCGCUACACUGAUGUGUCCAGUAAGCACCUAACCUCUUCCGAAAGGAACGGGUAACCUUUGCAAAGCACAUCGUGAUGGGGAUAGAUUAUUGCAAUUAUUAGUCUUGAACGAGGAAUUCCUAGUAAGCACAAGUCAUCAGCUUGUGUUGAUUACGUCCCUGCCCUUUGUCCACACCGCCCGUCGCUCCUACCGAUUGAAUGUUCCGGUGAGCUCUUCGGACUGCGCGGUCUGCAGUUUCUGCGUUCCGUGCGGAAAGUUGCGCAAACCUUAACAUUUAGAGGAAGGAGAAGUCGUAACA
rnacentral:rRNA from 1 species